rnacentral:misc_RNA from 1 species
CCGCACGAGUCCACAGCCUCCAUCGCUCUCUUUCUUACAUCCGACGGCAAUUUAUCGCUCUCCACUGCACUUCCAGGUCUGAUAUCGGCAGGAAUAUCAAUGCCCGCUCUUACAACCGGAGCCAAACCCCUUACCCUAGAUUCCGGCGGUGCAAUCCGCGUCUGAAGGGCCGGAAAAGUAAUGGGAGAUGGCUUUACGCAAAUUGAGGGUUUAAGGGUGAUGAGAGGGUGGAAAUAGAAGCGGG